ensembl:lincRNA
GCCGCCCCUGGCGCAGGAGGCGGGGAUGUGCGAGGCGAGGCGCGGGCGGGGAGGGCCGGGCGCCCCGCGGGAGGGCUGGGGCCUCCCCGGCUAGGGUUUCGCGCGGCCCCGGGGGAUAGAGUUGUCCCUGGGCUCGGGUUCCGUACCAUCCCCCUCCUCGGGCCGCGGGCCGAGCCGGCCCGUUAAUGAUUGAUGCGGGGGGCCAAAGGCUGCGCCAGGCACCCGGCCGCUCGCGCCGAGGGGUUCGAAACCCGCCAGCCACGCGGGCGUUCGAGAGGACAUUGGGGAGCCGCGUUCGCGGGGGGCGGGGCGCGAAGGCCGCGGGCGGGGGGCGUCGGCUCCCGGCGUCCCGAAGCCGCGGAGGGCGGAGAGAGGGGCUAACAGUAAUCCCCGGAGGUCGGGGGCAGCUCUCCGGAAAUGGGGCGGCUUCGAGACCUCGUCCGGAUGGGGUCCGUGUCAUUGUCAGAUGCCUAAGGGCUCCUCUUCUCUCCCUCGCAUCGCGCGUGUGUGUUGUGUGUGCGCGCGCGCGUGCGUCGGCCUCUGUCUCUCCUGGCACCACGUCAAGCCUUAGUUCACCUCCUUUGGUCCAGCGGACUGACUCAGCCCUUUCUCCAAAUUCGGAGCUCCCCUCAGCCUAUGCCAAGAGUGCCUCCUCACUGCCAGCCCUACGUGUAGGGCGGCCGCCCGUCACCUGCCAGCGGGACUCUCCCCCGUCAUGUGGGAAGAUGUUUUCUUACAGGGCUUCGACUUGCCAGCUGAGAGUGUUCUGUCAGGAAGGAGUCUCUUUCCAAAUGUGUGAGGAGUCCGUGCUUGUUUCUUCACGUGGCAGCUGGGGAACUUUUGACCGCGGUGACAACCCUCCACCUUUCUCUUCUCCCUAUGAAUAGACCCCUGGAAUCAUUCCAUGCAGGACCUACGAUGGCCUGUUGGGGUCCCUGUGGUGAAAGGGGGCAGGAGCCAUUUCCCCAGCCUCUUCUAUUCCUUUCCCAUGGGCAGACUUUUAAGACUACAGAUUAGAAACCCACGCCCCGAGAAGCAGCCUUGCUCAAGGGCACACAGCUGGGACUAAAACCCACAGGGCAUGGGGUUUCUGACUCCCAGCCCUGUGCUUUCUGUGAGACUACUACUGAGGGCACAGUGUGCGGUGAUGGAAUUACUCUUAUUCCUAUGUUCCCCCCUCUCUCUAAGAGCAAUAAACCCAGCCAGGACCUAAUAAAACCCCAGCCUAAGAUGUUGCAACUUCCAAAGGUGUUUAUGUUUUAAUAGGGAUCCUUGAAAACGAAAAGCUGCCAAGAUUUAGAAGGAAGGGCGUUUAAUAAUGGGGCGGAUUUCUGGGCACAACGCAAUGAACGCAGGGGGAAGAAACAGACUGGAUGGGUUGUUUUGGGGGGUGGGGUGCAGUGGGGGGGGAGGAAGCCCCCUUGCUUGAGGAGAACGCAAAGAGACUUGAAGACAGACAGCGAGGGGUCCUGGUUCCAGGUCAGCAGACAGCCUCAGAUGGGGGGACGGCGGCCACAUUCGGGAAGUGCCACUUAGUGAGGCUGAAGCAGGACAGAGCACAGAACCCAGAAACAGAGGAGCCGCCGCGCAGCGUGGGGUCUGAGUACCUGACAUCAGGGUGAGUUGUUAGGGGGUGGUGGGUUCUGGGGCCCUGGUUUCUUGUUCUGGUUCUGGGAGAGGUUGGAGCCGGGGACAGACUAAUCCCAACAUGCAGGAAACCGCUUGUGCUCUUUCCUUUUAAACCUGGCAAGAAGAGCUUGUGUAAGUCAAAACACCAGUUGCCAUUUAUUCUUAUUUGUAGAAAGUGUUUGUUUUUAAAAUAGAGAAUUUCUAAGGGGGAGAAAACGGCUUAAAUCCUAAACCAUUGGCAAUAUUCUAAAUUCUCUGCCAAUCUUUCUUAAUAUACCUACAGAUGUUCUGUAUGAUUAUACUUCAUGUGGGAGUUAUAUCUUUUGUGUUUUAAUGUAGAUAUUUCCAGGAAUUACCAUAGUCCACGUCUUUUCCAUUUUUAAUAACUCUAUAAUGCAUCACCCAGAUGACAUUAUAGAUCCUUACAGGAAGUGUUUGGGGGUACUAAAAAUUUAUUAUGAUCACCAAUUGUACUGUUUUGAAAAUACCUUUGAAUAAUUUUUUUUUUCCUUUCAGAUUGUUUCCUUGACAUAAAUUCCCCAGAAUGGAACUGUGAGGUCAAUAUAUACAAACAGUUUAGUGGCUCCUGUUGCGAUUGACAGAUUUCUCUCUCAAAAAAUUGAGAUUUUUUUCCUCACUACCCUGUCAACCCAAAGUCCAGGAAGGUCUCACACCCCAUAUUCUACAGGGAUCUGCUGGACUUACCCUGGCCUUUGCCCUCGAUCCUAGAUGCACAUACCACACGUGUGCCUCAAGGUUUUAUCAAGGCGAGCCUCAAGGCAGAGGGGAGAGCCAAGCCGGGCGAGCUGAGUCAUGCUGGCCCCGGCCCAAGGCUGACCUCAGCCACCGUGAGAAGUCAGAGCGGAAAUGCUGCCUCUCUUUCUGCUUAGAGAAUGGGUACCCCGUUGUAAUGGACAGGAGUAGGAUACAGAGUGGAAAUUGAAAAGGAAUUUUCGUUGUGUAGUAUUAGCAAUUACUGUAGUAUAUGUAGUAUAUGUAGAUGCUAUCAGGUCAUUUAUGAUAUGAUUUUUUAAAAAAAGACCCUAUUUGCUCCGUUAGACAUGGAGAUAACCAAUUCUUCCUUCACCAAUUGCGCUGCAUUUUGGUGUUUCAAAGCAAAGUGAUGAGUCAGUCAUGAUUUCUGAGUGAACGUAUUCCUAGAAAUAGGAAACUUCUAAUAAAUGAGACAACCCAGUGUUUUCUCUCCAGGGAACUUUCUCUCCGAGCUACCUGUGCUUUCCCCCCCACCCUUUUUUUUUUCUUUUUUUAAUUGUUAAAACAACACAGUGUUUAACAGACUGUUAGAAUGCACAUUAGCCAUGCCCUUCGUGUAAAAAUCCGUCUGAAUAAAAGGAAAUCAAUUCCAGGGGAUUCCUUGCGAAAUGCAGCUUUAAAAUAAGUUUUCUGGGAAACUGCAGGCCUGUUUUGAACUGGGCUGGUGCACUUGUCCUGGUUGAGGAGAAGACCCAGGCGGGGAGGUGGAGGGAUGAGUCAGCGA